rnacentral:rRNA from 1 species
CAGUAGCCGCGGUAAUACGUAGGUGGCAAGCGUUGUCCGGAAUUAUCGGGCGUAAAGGGCUCGCAAGCGGUUUCUUAAGUCUGAUGUGAAAGCCCCGGCUCAACCGGGGAGGGUCAUUGGAAACUGGGAAACUUGAGUGCAGAAGAGGAGAGUGGAAUUCCACGUGUAGCGGUGAAAUGCGUAGAGAUGUGGAGGAACACCAGUGGCGAAGGCGACUCUCUGGUCUGUAACUGACGCUGAGGAGCGAAAGCGUGGGGAGCGAACAGGAUUAGAUACCCCAGUAGUCCCUGUCUCUUAUACA